GUCCACGCCGUAAACGAUGUUCACUAGAUGUUGGAAGUAUUGACCCUUCCAGUGUCGCAGCUAACGCAUUAAGUGAACCGCCUGGGGAGUACGGUCGCAAGACUAAAACUCAAAGGAAUUGACGGGGGCCCGCACAAGCGGUGGAGUAUGUGGUUCAAUUCGACGCAACGCGAAGAACCUUACCUGGAUUAGAAAUCAACUAGACGACUUGUAGAGAUAUGAGUUUUCCCCGCAAGGGGACUGGUUGACAGGUGCUGCAUGGCUGUCGU
rnacentral:rRNA from 1 species